AGAUCGACUGUUGGCCUUAUUGAUGUCCAACAUGAAAAAUUUGUCCAAACAUUUUGAGAUUGAGAUCGGCUGUUGGCCUUACUGAGGUCCAACGUGAGAAAUUCAUCCAAUCUUAUUGAGAUUGAGAUCGGCUCUUGGCCUUGUUGAAGGGCAACAUGAAAAAUUAUUGAAGUUGGUCAUAGCCUUAACAUUAAAGUUCUACAAUUUUUAAUUUGUUGAGGUCGACCAUUGCCUUGUCAAGGUCGGCCAUAGCAUUAACAUAUUAUUGAGGUCGGUCAUGGCCUUAACAUUAAAGUUUUACAAUUUUGAAUUUUUUUGAGGUCGGCCAUUGCCUUAACAUUAAAGUUCUAAAAUGUUCAAUUUUGUUGAGGUCGGCUAUUAGCUUGUUGAGAUCGGCCAUAGCCAUAACAUUUAAGUUCUAUAAUUUUCAAUUUGUUGAGGUCAGCCAUAUCCUUAACAUUAAAGUUCUACAAUGUUCAAUUUUGUCGAAGUCGGUUAUUAGCUUGUUGAGGUCGGCCAUAGCCAUAACAUUUAAGUUCUACAAUUUUCAAUUUGUUGAGGUCAGUCAUAGCCAUAACAUUUAAGUUCUAUAAUUUUCAAUUUGUUGAGGUCGGCCAUAGCCUUAACAUUCAAGUUCUAUAAUUUUUAAUUUAUUGAGGUUGACCAUUAUCUUGUUGAGGUUGAUCAUUCGGUCUUAUUUGCGAUUGAGGUCGACAAUCGGAGAGGUCAUAUUUUCAAAUAAUCAUCCUCUCAUAUGAAAAUCAGAGUCAAUAGUUGGGCAUUAUUGACUCGGACUUACCACGAUUAAGGUUGAGGUCGACAUUUUAGCCUGAUAAGACCUAUGGUCGAGGUCGACACUUUAGCUUUGUGAAGUCUACGGCUGAAGUCGACAUUUUAGUUUGGUAAGGCCUACGAUUGAGGUCUUCAUUUUAGUUUUGUAAGAUCUACGAUUAAAGUUUACGUUUUAUCGCGGUAGGAUCUACGGCUGAAGUCGACAUUUUAGCUUUGGAAGAAUCUAUGGUUGAGGUCGACAUUUGAGCUUCUUAAGGUCGAGAUCUACAUUUGAGCCUUAUUGACGUCCUACUUGAAUAACUUCAUUUGUUUUUAUUUGAGAUUGAGGUAUACAUUCGACCCUCAUUGAGGUCUUACCUAAAUAACUAUCCGGUCUUAUUUGAGAUUGAGAUCUACAUUUGAGCAUUACUGAGGUUCUACGUAAAUAAUUAUCCGAUCUUAUUUGAGGUUGAGGUCGACAUUUUGUCUAGGUAUGGUCUACGAUUGUGGUUGACGUUUUAGCUUAGUAGGGCUUACUCUAUUGAGGUCGAUAGUUUAGUUGAGGUUGACAUCAUAGAAUGUGUUGAGGUCGACAUUUUAGUUUUCUAUUUUAACCUUAUUAAGGUCGACACUCUAUUUUGUUGAGGUUGACAUUUUCUUUGUCGUGAGGUUGGCAUUUUAGCUCUACACUUAACCUUGUUGAGGUCAACAGUCUAUCUUGUUGAGGUUGACAUUUUCGUGAGGCCAACAUUUUCUUUGUCGUGAGCUCGUGAGGUCAGCGUUUUGGCUCUACACUUAACUUUGUUAAGGUUGACAUUUACUUUGUUGGGGUCAACAUUUUCCUUAUCGAGAUUGACAUCGAAAUGAUAUAGUCUUGGUGAAUUCAAGGUCAUUGCUCGGUCUUAUUGCUACCAAAGUUGACCAUAUCUAUUUGUUUGACCUCAACAGAGUCUUAGAUGAGCUCAGUCUACGGAAUGAAAGUCAUAACCAGCCCUAGUAAAUAAAGAGUAAAAAUGACAAGGUCAAUAUAAUAAUUAUCAGACUACAAAAGCAAAUUAAAGUUCAGUAACAUAUGGUCUACACAAGUUCAUAUUGCACAAAGGGGCAAGCAUUGUAAUAAUUAAACUUAGGAAGUUCUCUUUUGGUCUUCAACAACCCUACUAGUUAGGGAGACCUCACCCUCAACCCCGGCCCUAUCACCUCGAGGCACUUAGUCAUAGUUAUCUUCUUGGUCCACACCUGAAGGUUUCUUCCUACCCUUCUCUUUGCUUACCGUUCUGCUCUACACCGUCUUUCUUUUGCUUUCGGCCAUAUUGCUCUUUCUUCUUUCUUUUAGUUUCCAAUACUGUUCAUAUCUUCUCAAUAUUGAAAACUAGGGGACUGGUGUUGGGUUUUGAGAAAAUUUUCUAUUUUUAAAUAAUCAGUUUCCAACACCGGCAAUGACUUUUCGGUAUUGAAAACUGGGGGACUGGUGUUUGGGUUGGAUUUUUCUGGUAGUGUCUCGAAAUAUAAUCAAUCAUAAUCUACUCAGAACUUAUUGAUGUUGAACUGACCUCAUAAGUAAAACCUGGAGCCUAUGUUGGCGACCUGGUUUACAAGUACGACCUGAGGUUUAUGUGAAUGACCUAGUUUAAGAAUACAACAUCAAGCUUAUAUGAGCGACUGAGAAAUUCAUAUGUUCAAUUUGAAAGUGAAGUAAUCCGACCUCGAAAUAUAUUUGUCCGACCUGAGAAUUAGCUUGACAUGGAAAAUUGCUAGUCAAGAGAACGUGGCCUAAUUUCUAGGGAAGUUGUGUGCCACGAUUUAUUUAAACCACUUCUAACUGACAACCACUUGCAACUGCUGAAGAAAGCGGGUUGAAGUUAAGGAAGUAACCAUCCACGACCAAGAGCCUACUUAAACUGAAGAGCGCAUCAGGUGAAGGGGUUAGCAAAAUGAACCAAAGCUUCUACAAGUUUAAACCUUCUCUAUAAGGUUUUCUGCCCCUUGACCAGAAAAUUACUUGACUUUUAACUCAUUCACAAUCCUUCAUUAUCAUUUUUCUCCCUUUAUACAUAAUUUCUAACUUAAGCAUCGGAGGGUCUAUGCCGGAAACCCACUGGCGUAUCCUAACCGUGUUUUCUAGUUAGCAAGUAUAGAAAGUUGCGAUCAGACUGGCGUUUGAGCUCAGAUUCACGUUGUAAUUCCCCAAAAGAAAUAAAUUCAGUUGUUGAGGUCGUUUUUCGGCAUCAACAUCACAGAUUAAUAAAAUUCAAACCAAAUCUAAUCCAUAUGUCUGCAGAUUGGAUGCGCAUUUGACUCAAUUCAUAUCCAGUCCAAUAUUUUGUGGAUUUAUUUGUGAAUUAAACAAUUUUAAUUUUUUUACCAAUCUAUGAAGUAAUUAAAUUAAAAAA
rnacentral:lncRNA from 1 species